rnacentral:ribozyme from 1 species
UGCCCAGCAACUCCUAUCCCUACCUCCACGCGGUACCGGUCGGAAACUAUGAGCAACCUUAGGGAAGA